rnacentral:rRNA from 1 species
CCUACGGGGGGCAGCAGUAGGGAAUCUUUCACAAUGGGCGAAAGCCUGAUGGAGCAACGCCGCGUGCAGGAUGAAGGCCUUCGGGUUGUAAACUGCUUUUAUAAGCGAGAAAUAUGAUGGUAACUUAUGAAUAAGGAUCGGCUAACUACGUGCCAGCAGCCGCGGUCAUACGUAGGAUCCGAGCAUUAUCCGGAGUGACUGGGUGUAAAGAGUUGCGUAGGUGGCAUAAUAAGUAGCUAGUGAAAUCGGGUGGCUCAACCAUUCAGACUAUUAGCUAAACUGUUAAGCUCGAGACCGUUAGGGGUAACUGGAAUUUCUAGUGUAGGAGUGAAAUCCGUAGAUAUUAGAAGGAACACCAAUGGCGUAGGCAGGUUACUGGGACGGUUCUGACACUAAGGCACGAAAGCGUAGGGAGCAAACGGGAUUAGAUACCCUGGUAGUC